CUCUUAGAUGGCAGGUGCACUGGGGACAGCUCUUAGAUGGCAGGUGCACUAGGGACAGCUCUUAGAUGGCAGGUGCACUGGGGACAGCUCUUAGAUGACAGGUGCACUGGGGACAGCUCUUAGAUGGCAAGUGCACUAGGGACAGCUCUUA